GAUGAACGCUAGCGGGAGGCUUAACACAUGCAAGUCGAGGGGCAGCAUAGGGUAGCAAUACUCUGAUGGCGACCGGCAAACGGGUGAGUAACGCGUAUGUAACCUACCCUGUACAGGGGGAUAACCCGGAGAAAUUCGGACUAAUAUCCCAUAACAAUAUCCGGAGGCAUCUUUGGAUAUUUAAAGUUCCGACGGUACGGGAUGGGCAUGCGUAACAUUAGCUGGUUGGUAAGGUAACGGCUUACCAAGGCUAUGAUGUUUAGGGGUCCUGAGAGGGUGGUCCCCCACACUGGUACUGAGACACGGACCAGACUCCUACGGGAGGCAGCAGUGAGGAAUAUUGGUCAAUGGGCGCAAGCCUGAACCAGCCAUCCCGCGUGCAGGAAGACGGCCCUAUGGGUUGUAAACUGCUUUUCCAGGGAGAGAAACUUACGCACGUGUUGCGUGACUGACGGUACCCUGGGAAUAAGCAUCGGCUAACUCCGUG
rnacentral:rRNA from 1 species